UUUUUUUAUUUUGCGGAUUUUUAUGUUAUCUACUGUAAAUAUCCCUAUCUGUUCUCUAAAAAUUUCCUGAACAUAAAAUUGCAAACAUCCUACGAAAUAUCUGAGUCGGGAAUCAAAGAAACUGGGUUAAUUCACGUUUAAAGAUGACAUUUUUUAAUAUUUUUUAAAAACGUACAGGAAAUAGUUUGAAUGAUAGCGAGCUUU
rnacentral:lncRNA from 1 species